rnacentral:lncRNA from 1 species
CUGCGCCCGGCGCCCGCGGGGUCUACGUGCUGCCCAUCGGCGACGCGGACGCGGCUGCAGCAGUGACCACGUCGUACAGGAAUAGCAAGAGCUUGGCUGCCUGGACCCCUGCCCCCAAUUCGGGCAGAAACACAGGAUCACUGUUGAACUUGACCCUCCCAGCGCCAUGCCAGUGGGCCUCUGGGACCCCCACCUUCCAGCUCUGGGACCUGAUACAAGCCACUCCCUCCAGCCUUGUCUUGUAAGAUGUACAUCAUCUAAGCAAACUUAAGAAAUUCAGAAAGCCAAGGAAACGAACAGAGCCAGGAAUCCUGAAGAUGUGAGGCCACUCCUAACUCAAGGUUCUUGAGGGAGUACCCA